ensembl:lncRNA
ACACACACACACACACACACACACACACACACACACACACACACACACACACACACACACACACACACACACACACACAAACACACACAAACUUGUCCACUUCUAUCCACCCUUUCCAUUGGCCCCCGAACAGUGUCACUGUGAGAGCCAGUGUAGACACAAUUAAGGAAGGUGAAAUGUGCUGCCAUAUCUCUUUGAGUGGUAAGAUACGAUGUUCCCUUUGAGAUGGGAGCAGGGUAGCUGGGUUACCAGUUCUGUUUCUGCUCUAGCAAACACCGGUGUUUGUUGUUGUAGUCAGGUUUGACUGUUGGCUGGAGCCGUAAUGGAUCUGGCAACCAGGCUAGUAGCAAUGGGAAGAAAAGAGAUGGACAGAUUGAGAGUAGCUACUAUAGAAUGAGGGUGUUGAGUUUCGGUGACACAUGAAAAGGAAUGAACUGGCACGGCUGGAAUUCGAAGCAGAGAGCUGAGCACCAGCCAGCGUUGCAGAUGAGCUGGCACCAAUGUAACAGAAAGCCCGGGUCAGGUACGAACCGUCUGCUCCCCUCCCUCCCUAGACAUCAAAUGAAUCAACAUCGAUCCGCACAAAAUGGAACCUGACAAAUCGGCUGCGGCCAAGUCUGUGUAGGUCUACUGUGAAAUAGCUACAGUGCACAUUGGGUGAAUCACUGUCAUUUUAUUACAUGAGCCUAAAGUGCUCGCCACAACAUUGGAGGGGAAAGAGAGAACAUACAAAAUAUGUGCAAAUAUUUUUUAGCAAUGUAGGCCUAGCCUACUCAUUAUCAGUGAAUGAUUUCCAUUUACUGACCAAUAAAAUGUAAUUCUACAAAAACAACAGUGGGCUAAUGUUUGAUUUAUGUUGAAUUUGCUAAGUCUCUGAAAAAUGACAUGAAUUGAAAGUACAGCUGCAAGGUGUGCUAUGUAGGGCUAUAUCUAGACCUAUUUCCUUCCAAAAUAGAGCUUGCUCGCUUGUAGUCUAUAAAAACUAGAAAUUAGUUUACCUGUGGUAAAUUCAGCCAUCCUAUGGGGAAAGAAUAUGGUUUUGGGAUAAACGCAGAAGAUAAAGGGCUGAGGCUAUCGCAGGCGUAAAGUAUCUUAUACGUUUUGUUCUAUGAGAUAAUAUCAGCGAUUUAACUGGACUUUUAUGAAGAAAAAUGUGUAACAUAAAUGCUUCAAAAUUCAUGAAAAAUGACAUUAACUGAUGAAGAUUAUCUCAUAGAACAAAAUGUAUACAAAUCUCCUAAACCUGUGUUUACAACAGACCUUAUUUUUGGCGUUUAUCCAAAAACUCCAUUUUCCUAUUGACGGUGUCCAACGAACCAUGGCGGAGUUAGUGCCUAUGAAAGAACGGCACUACUAUUGCUCUCUAUACCAACCUUGGACCGUGUUGUCGUCAAACUGGGUCAGUAAAGGGUUAAGUCUGGAUUUGGCCGCUCCCCUGAAUGGUGGGUGAAUGCGAGGCGAGGCCGCAGAAAAACAAGCCUUCCAUUCAUCUCGUCACCGUGUGACCAACCUUGAACAGUGGAAGGCGUGUUAUUGCACCGGAGGUCCCGGGCAGGCAGCAGCAGAGAUGAGAGGGGGACGGAGGGGGGGACGGUGACUCAGGAAUUCCACUGAGGCGUACACAUGACCAAGCACCUCUUUUAUGCCCUCUUUUGUGGAGGAUGAUAUUCCUGAGG